GACGAACGCUGGCGGCGUGCUUAACACAUGCAAGUCGAACGGAAAGGCCCUGCUUUUGUGGGGUGCUCGAGUGGCGAACGGGUGAGUAACACGUGAGUAACCUGCCCUUGACUUUGGGAUAACAUCAGGAAACUGGGGCUAAUACCGGAUAGGAGCUCCUGCUGCAUGGGGUGGGUUGGAAAGUGUCGGCGGUUGGGGAUGGACUCGCGGCUUAUCAGCUUGUUGGUGGGGUAGUGGCUUACCAAGGCGUUGACGGGUAGCCGGCCUGAGAGGGUGACCGGCCACAGUGGGACUGAGAUACGGGCCAGACGGCUACGGGAGGCAGGAGUGGGGAAUAGUGCACGAUGGGCGGAAGCCGGAUGCAGCGACUCCGCGUGCGGGAUGACGGCCUUCGGGGUGUAAACCGCGUUCGCGUGUGACGAAGCGUCAGUGACGGUAAUGGAUAAAGAAGCACCGGCUAACUACGUG
rnacentral:rRNA from 1 species